GAUGUGGGACGCCUCAGCCCACUGUGAGUGAUGCCCUUCCUAGGCAGUGGUCCUGGGUUGUACUAGAAAGCAGCCAGGGAGCAGAGCCAGGGAGCGCCAUCCUCUGCGAUUCCUGUCUCAGUUCCUGCUUGAGUGUCUGCCCUGACCUCUGUCAAUGACGGACUGUGAUGGAGACGGCAUCGGGAAAGAAACCAAGGUUUUGCAUCCUAUAGGGCCCCGGGAGACUGGGUUAGACUUCUCUCCUGACUCCUUCGCUUAAGGUAGUCACUGAGAAUGAAUCCACAGUGCGAGUGAGUUGAAGGCGCCCUCCAGAAAUCGUUGUCCUCUGGUCCCUCUCCUCCAGUGAGAAAAGCCAUGCUGCAGCCGUCCAGGAGAAGCCUCGGCAGCUUGGGGAGAUUGGUGUAACAACUUUUGUUGAAAAAAAACAAAAGCCAUGGAAUUCCUGGGCCUGGUUUCCCUUUGGAUUAAAAUAAAUUUUAACUGCAAAGCCAA